rfam:Streptomyces fradiae strain ATCC 19609 contig0054, whole genome shotgun sequence.
UCCGCUGUGGUGUAAUGGGUAGCACUGGGUCUUUUGGUGGCCUAAGUCCGGGUUCGAGUCCUGGCAGCGGAG